rnacentral:rRNA from 1 species
GCGUGCAGGAUGACGGCCCUAUGGGUUGUAAACUGCUUUUGUACGGGAAAAAACCCYCGUUCGUGARCGAGGCUGACGGUACCGUAAGAAUAAGCAUCGGCUAACUCCGUGCCAGCAGCCGCGGUAAUACGGAGGAUGCAAGCGUUAUCCGGAUUCAUUGGGUUUAAAGGGUGCGUAGGCGGAUUAAUAAGUCAGWGGUGAAAUCCUACAGCUUAACUGUAGAAUUGCCAUUGAUACUGUUAGUCUUGAGUAUWUUUGAAGUGGAUGGAAUGUGCAGUGUAGCGGUGAAAUGCUUAGAUAUUACACAGAACACCGAUUGCGAAGGCAGUUYACUAAGYUAWUACUGACGCUGAGGCACGAAAGCAUGGGGAUCAAACAGGAUUAGAUACCCUGGUAGUCCAURCCGUAAACGAUGAUUACUCGAUGUGGGCGAUACACUGU